CGGUUGAUCCUGCCGGACCCCACUGCUAUCGGGAUAGGACUAAGACAUGCAAGUCAAGCGCUUUCUAGCUAAUGUGAGAGCGCGGCGUACAGCUCAGUAACACGUGGCCAACCUGCCCUUGGGACGGGAACACCCCCGGGAAACUGGGGUUAAUUCCCGAUAGGUGAAGAAGUCUGGAAUGACUCUUCGCUCAAAAGACGUUUAUGUCAUGCUCAUAUUCGUCGCCCAGGGAUGGGGCCGCGACCGAUCAGGUUGUUGGUGAGGCAAUGGCUCACCAAGCCUUUUACCGGUGCGGGCCGUGAGAGCGGGAGCCCGGAGAUGGGCACUGAGACAAAGGCCCAGGCCCCACGGGGCGCAGCAGUCGCGAAAAUUUUGCAAUACACGAAAGUGUGACAGAGCUAUCCCGAGUGCCAUCCGCUGAGGAAGGCUUUUACCCAGUAUAAAUAGCUGGGAGAAUAAGGAGAGGGCAAGUCUGGUGUCAGCCGCCGCGGUAAUACCAGCUCUCCGAGUAGUGUGGACGUUUAUUGGGCCUAAAGCAUCCGUAGCUUGCUAGAUAAGUCCUCUGUUAAAUCCACCGAUUCAAUCGUUGGAUUGCGGGGGAUACUGUUUGGCUAGGGGACGGGAGAGGUCGACGGUAUUUCCGGGGUAGGGGUGAAAUCCUAUAAUCCCGGGAGGACCACCAGUGGCGAAGGCUGUCGACUAGAACGCGCCCGACGGUGAGGGAUGAAAGCUGGGGGAGCGAAC
rnacentral:rRNA from 1 species